AGGGGCCAAAGAAGAUCCGACCUGAUACCCCUUUAGUGGUUGUUUCUGAGGCCCGCACCGAACCUGUCAUUGCAUUGUCUAUCCCGGGGGUCCUUCUGCCACCCGAAGUUUCUCCACCAGUAGAGCAACCAAGCGGUCAUGAUGACGAUGUGAUUCUCGAUCCAGUAUCGGCCAGCAUGGCACCGACAAUGUCUCAGGCACCACCAUCAUCCCGACAAUCUUUCACACCCGAAUGGAUGGCGGCACCAAUCGAUCAGCCAUCCACUCAGGAGCAUGGAAAGGUACCAUAGGUUUCAAUCGAUGGUGAGACUCCGGAAGACUUGACGGAGCAUUUUGACAUUCGGGUACC
rnacentral:lncRNA from 1 species